CCUACGGGAGGCAGCAGUAGGGAAUAUUGCUCAAUGGGGGAAACCCUGAAGCAGCAACGCCGCGUGGAGGAUGAAGGUUUUCGGAUUGUAAACUCCUUUUGUUAGAGAAGAUAAUGACGGUAUCUAACGAAUAAGCACCGGCUAACUACGUGCCAGCAGCCGCGGUAAUACGUAGGGUGCAAGCGUUACUCGGAAUCACUGGGCGUAAAGAGCGCGUAGGCGGGAUAGCAAGUCAGAUGUGAAAUCCUAUGGCUUAACCAUAGAACUGCAUUUGAAACUGUUAUGCUAGAGUAUGGGAGAGGUAGGUGGAAUUCUUGGUGUAGGGGUAAAAGCCGUAGAGAUUAAGAGGAAUACUCAUUGCGAAGGCGACCUGCUAGAACAUAACUGACGCUGAUGCGCGAAAGCGUGGGGAGCAAACAGGAUUAGAUACCCGAGUAGUC
rnacentral:rRNA from 1 species